UUCAGCAACCCAGCGACAAUCUCGCUCCGCCGCCGCUUCCCCUUGCAUCUCCCUGUGUAAAUGUGUAUCCUCCGCCGCCGCCUCUCCUCGCCUCUCCAUGUGUCUCUCUCGAUCCCCUUUCUAGCCACAUCGUAGAAUUCAUAGCAUGGCACUACUCCAGUUAAUCCAGUCGCUCUAUAUUCCAAUCUUCGUCCGUUUCAUAGCAUCACGACUUUCAGGUACAUAUACUGAAGAGCUGGAUUUGCACCAUGUAAUGGAAGAAGUGGCACGUGUGGGAUCAGAUGGAGUUGCAGAGGCACUGCAGCCUUGGACGUGCAUGGUGAUAACACAGAUGUGUAAUAGUAUUGGGCGGUUGGGGACAAUGCUAGCAAGUAAUUAAUCAAUACUGGAUUUGCUUGGUCUCACCCACAUAUCCUAAUUAGGUUUGUUCUAGUUUGUAACA